CACGUAGGGCGCAAGCGUUUGUCCGGAAUUAUUGGGCGUAAAGAGCUCGUAGGCGGUCUGUUACGUCUGCUGUGAAAACCCUGGGCUUAACCCUGGGCUUGCAGUGGAUACGGGCAGACUAGAGGCAGGUAGGGGAGAAUGGAAUUCCCGGUGUAGCGGUGAAAUGCGCAGAUAUCGGGAGGAACACCGGUGGCGAAGGCGGGUCUCUGGGCCGAUACUGACGCUGAGGAGCGAAAGCGUGGGGAGCGAACAGG
rnacentral:rRNA from 1 species